rnacentral:rRNA from 1 species
UGGGGAAUAUUGGACAAUGGGCGCAAGCCUGAUCCAGCCAUGCCGCGUGUGUGAAGAAGGCCUUCGGGUUGUAAAGCACUUUAAGUUGGGAGGAAGGUUCGAUGGAUAAUACCCAUCGGAAUUGACGUUACCAACAGAAUAAGCACCGGCUAAUUCCGUGCCAGCAGCCGCGGUAAUACGGAAGGUGCGAGCGUUAAUCGGAAUUACUGGGCGUAAAGCACACGUAGGUGGCUCCUUAAGUCGGAUGUGAAAGCCCUGGGCUUAACCUGGGAAUUGCAUCCGAUACUGGGUGGCUAGAGUACGGUAGAGGGAGGUGGAAUUCCAGGUGUAGCGGUGAAAUGCGUAGAGAUCUGGAGGAACACCGGUGGCGAAGGCGGCCUCCUGGACUGAUACUGACACUGA